rnacentral:rRNA from 1 species
UACGAAGGGGGCUAGCGUUGCUCGGAAUGACUGGGCGUAAAGGGCGCGUAGGCGGUUUGUACAGUCAGGUGUGAAAUUCCCGGGCUCAACCUGGGGGCUGCACUUGAUACGUAUGGACUGGAGUGGGGAAGAGGGUCGUGGAAUUCCCAGUGUAGAGGUGAAAUUCGUAGAUAUUGGGAAGAACACCGGUGGCGAAGGCGGCGACCUGGUCCGUUGACUG